GAUGAAGAACGCAGCGAAAUGCGAUAAGUAAUGUGAAUUGCAGAAUUCAGUGAAUCAUCGAAUCUUUGAACGCACAUUGCGCCCGCUAGUAUUCUGGCGGGCAUGCCUGUCCAAGCGUCAUUUCAACCCUCAAGCCCCCGGGCUUGGUGUUGGGGAUCGGCGAGCCUCCGCGCCCGCCGUCCCCUAAAUCUAGUGGCGGUCUCGCUGUAGCUUCCUCUGCGUAGUAGCACACCUCGCACUGGGAAACAGCGCGGCCACGCCGUUAAACCCCCAACUUCUGAACGUUUGACCUCGGAUCAGGUAGGAAUACCCGCUGAACUUAAGCAUAUCAAUAAGCGGAGGA
rnacentral:misc_RNA from 1 species